rnacentral:tRNA from 1 species
GGGGUUGUGGCUCAGUGGUAAAGCAUUUGCCUAGCAUGCAUGAGGCACUGGGUUUGAUUCUCAGCACCA